UCAAAAAUAAACUACCAGGAUACAUAGAAAUUCCAUGCAGAUGAGUAAUUCCAUAAUACAGUUUCUUUUUUUGAAGAGUUGCAUAUCACAAUAAAAACAGAUACAAUGUUUAAUUGCCCGAGGACAAAACAGUAUAGUAAAGAACACAGAACAUACAAGGCAUGCAUACAUUAUUAAUUAAAAGAGAGGAUCGAUAAAUAAGGAUGAGUUAACCCAUAUCGAUAAAUAAAAUCUAUAGAUGAUUCCAUACAAUGUAGAACUGUUGUACUUGGCAAUGCACACUAGCUACUGAUGACUGGUUAUAUUGGUUCAUUGUCAUCAAAUUAAAAAAGAACUACCCUGAUCAAGCAUACAUAAGCAUAAAAAAGAUCAAACAAGCACAUUGUGCAUUUUCUUUUUAAAUGUGAUACACAAUAAGCAUAAGUAACCACUAGGAAAAUAACUUGCUAUCUACAUGCCCUAUUAUCAGCAACAAGAACAUUAGGCAAGGAAUAACAGAAUAUUUCCAAUGCAAUCUGUCUCCAUCCCCAGCACUGCGGCAACAGUCUCCAGCAUCAUUGCGCGGCAGCCAUACCUCCUCUGCAACCCAAUUUGAAGGGUCAGCUUCAGAACAUGAUAAACUUCGAAGUACAAUACAGGAGACCAAGAUGAUAAACUGGUGCAAAAAUCAUGAUAAACAGGUACCCCUCUCUGUCUGAACCCUUUUCUUGCACAUAUGGAUGUGCUAACAAUACAACUAGCAUUAAAGCUGAAUAUAUGUCCAUGUUUCCUAGCAAACAAAAAUCUUGUACAAACUAGCAUUGAAGCUGAAUAUAUUCCCAUAACAACUAGCAGCACCAGCUUAUGAAACCACAUAUAUAUUCCCAUCUAAUUUAUUCCAAUGGAUGUUAAAUUAAGAGAUGUAUUGCAAAUGUCUGAAGCAAUGUUAUGCGCUAUAUCCAUCUCAUUAUCUGAAGGCAGGCAAACUAAGAUUUCACCCAACCUACAACAGUUGCUGCCACAACCAAACAACAUAGUAGUUCUACCUGCAGUAGCUGGAGGCAAUUGUCUCACCUGCGGUAGCUGUCCAGGAGCAAGUUGAGGACGGCCGGGGCAGGAGCAGCAGGAUGCAGCUUGGGGACUUGGUCGGGUAACACAACCGGCAGCAGCAGCAGGUCCAGCACGUCCUACACUAGAAGCAACUCCCAUGGCCUUGAAUUACUUUCCUUGACACAAUACGAGCACACAUCAAUUGGAGAUGAUGAGAAGUUGUAGAAGAAGGAG
rnacentral:lncRNA from 1 species